rnacentral:lncRNA from 10 species
UCUCAAACCAGUGUUUUAAAAAUACUACUCUAAACUGCUUCCUUGGGAUAUGGCAAUGUGAGUUCGGCGUGGCAGCUAUCGUGGUGGUGUCAUGGUGGUGGGAACAGCAGUGAUGGUUUCAGGAAAGAGGCACUGGCCUUUACUUCUCCACCUCGAUUCACUUCCAUGCUGUUGACAAAUGUUAUAGUUGCCCAGGAUCAGAGGGAGAGACUGACCCUGUGACCAUUUCCCCAAAGGCGGCCUUUGGCCACUCCGUGCACUGGAGCACAUGACCCUCUGCCUCGCCCCUGCCACAUUAACCAGGUGACUGUCUGCCAAGGCCCAGCCCAGUCCAAAGGGAAUUGGGAUUCAGUGUCCCAAACAAGGCACUGAUUAGCUGGUAAUCAGGCAGCGAUUAGCAGGUCGGGUCACCUGCAGUUCAGUGCCCAUUGUUCCCAGCAAAGUCCUGGGAUAUUUGCCACACGGCUGGCCAGUCUGAAUGUCUGAGGAUUCCGAUGCCUGCAGCUCUGCUGUGGAGAUGUGUGAUUAGGAACAAAUCCUCUGUUCUCUAAGCCCAUCCCCCCAAGGAGGCAGUGCAGUGUGAAUAGUGAAUCCCCUUCUCUAUUCACACACAAAGGUUUGGGGAGAAGAAUGGCCUGCUUAGGAGCUCAACAGUGACAGAGAGGUGAGGCCCCAAGGAUGCACUGAAGAACUGAAAGCAAAUUAGCACAUUCCUCUUCCUGCACCAUGAUGACUGAGAGUGGAGGAACGGGCAAGCCCACAUCCAGACUGGGAUUCUACUGUGAUCUUGAGAUGUGACCUUGGACAAGAUUUUUAACCUCUGAGCUUGUUUACCUUGAUUUUGAGAGUUUAAUAACACUUGCCUCUUCAGCCUUUGAAGUUCAGAUUUAGAAAAUGAACAUAAAGCAGUUACUACAGUCUCUGUAGCGUGUGACCAAUACAUGCUAUCACCGUUAUCAUCGGUCAUAGUAAUAUCAAUAUUUAAAAUAUCAUAAUUAUUUGAAAUACUUUAUUUAAAAUAUGCCUCUGUAACAUCACUUCUAAAUGAGAGAUAGCCCCUUUGUAGGAGGCCAUGAUAAGGAUGAGAUGAGAAUUCUUGUAAAGCUUUCAUCACAGGGCCUAGCAAGUAAUUAGCACUUAAUAAAUCAUAGUAACAAUGGUGAUCACCAUCAUUAUUGUUUGUACAAAGUUGAAUGGAAAAGACUAUUUUGUAGCACUUUUCACUGUAUUGUAGCAUGUGAUCAUGAAAAUUUAGACAAAGCAUAAUUUUUCGAGCUAAAAGGAGAUUAAUGAAAUUAUUCAUGGCACAUUCACACCAUUGGACACUGUUCAGCUUUAUAGUCUAUGUGCCCUUCCACCACCUGGAGAUCUUGCUAAAAUUCUCAUUUGGUAAAUCUGGGGUCAGCCCAAGAUUACGCAUUUCCAGUGGAUUCUCAAGUGAUUCCAGGGCUACCUGUCCAUGGACUCCACUUUGAGUAAACAGGAUGUACACUUUUACAAUAAAAAAUGUGUAUAUGCAUUUAUACAGAAAUAUAGAAAAAUAUUCCUAGGCUAUACUCAAGAUGGGGGACAGUGUUUUUCACCCCCUUCGCUAAACUGUACUAUCUUUCCCAGAAAUUUAAUAACAAACAUGUAAAAACAUUUAAAAAUGCAAUAAAUUUUAUUGAUGCAAGUUCUUCCCUUCUCUAAAAGUUUGUCACACAGCCAGGUUUUCCAGCACAUUCUUUG